rnacentral:rRNA from 1 species
AAUAAUCAAUAAUUUUGGCUUGUCCAUCAUUAUCUAUUUACUGUGAACUGUAUUAUUACUUGACGCUUGAGGGAUGUUCCAUUGCUAUAAGGAUAGGCAUUGGAAAUGUUAACCGAGUCAUAAUCAAGCUUAGGCUUGGUAUCCUAUUAUUAUUUACCAAAAGAAUUCAGAAUUAAUAUUGUAACAUAGACGUAAAAAAUCUAUAAAACAACUUUUAACAACGGAUCUCUUGGUUCUCGCAUCGAUGAAGAACGUAGCAAAGUGCGAUAACUAGUGUGAAUUGCAUAUUCAGUGAAUCAUCGAGUCUUUGAACGCAACUUGCGCUCAUUGGUAUUCCAAUGAGCAUGCCUGUUUCAGUAUCAAAACAAACCCUCUAUCCAACAUUUGUUGAAUAGGAUGACUGAGAGUCUCUUGAUCUUUAUUGAUCUCGAACCUCUUGAAAUGUACAAAGGCCUGAUCUUGUUUAAAAGCCUGAACUUUUUUUUAAUAUAAAGAGAAGCUCUUGCGGUAAACUGUGCUGGGGCCUCCCAAAUAAUACUUUUUAAAUUUGAUCUGAAAUCAGGUAGGAUUAC